UUAAGAGGACAGUGUUGAUCAGUGUCUGUCCAGACCUUUCAGAGACACUGAGACGCCGGCAGCACAAUGAUGAUGUCACUGAGUCUACUGCUGGUCACCCUGGGGCUCCUUGUUCAGGGUUCAUCAGGAGAAAUCAUCCUGACUCAGUCUCCUGGAUCUCAGUCUGCUGUAGCAGGACAGACUGUCUCUAUCACAUGUAAAGCCAGUACAAGUAUAAGUAGCAACCUUCACUGGUACUUUCAGAAAUCUGGAGAAUCUCCCAAACUUUUGAUUCGUUAUGCUACAACUCGUCAUUCUGGAGUUUCAGAGCGUUUCAGUGGGACAGGCUCUGGGACUGACUUCACUCUGACCAUCAGAGGAGUUCAGACUGAAGACGAAGGAGAUUAUUAUUGUCUGCAGAGGCACAGCUUGCUGUUCACACAGUGAAACAACGUCGUACAAAAACCUCCUCAGCUGGAGAGGAACUGAUCUGACUUAACGGCUACAAUGAAACGG